rnacentral:rRNA from 1 species
CCUACGGGUGGCAGCAGUGAGGAAUAUUGGUCAAUGGACGGAAGUCUGAACCAGCCAUGCCGCGUGCAGGAAGACGGCUCUAUGAGUUGUAAACUGCUUUUGUACAAGGGUAAACCUGAAUACGUGUAUUCAGCUGAAAGUACCGUACGAAUAAGGAUCGGCUAACUCCGUGCCAGCAGCCGCGGUAAUACGGAGGAUUCAAGCGUUAUCCGGAUUUAUUGGGUUUAAAGGGUGCGUAGGCGGAUGGAUAAGUUAGAGGUGAAAUGUCCGAGCUUAACUCGGGAACUGCCUCUAAUACUGUUGGGCUAGAGAGUAGAUGCGGUAGGCGGAAUGUAUGGUGUAGCGGUGAAAUGCAUAGAGAUCACGCAGAACUCCGAUUGCGAAGGCAGCAUACCGGGGUACAACUGACGCUGAGGCACGAAAGCGUGGGUAUCGAACAGGAUUAGAUACCCGUGUAGUC